rnacentral:rRNA from 1 species
GACAGAGGGUGCAAACGUUGCUCGGAAUUACUGGGCUUAAAGAGUUCGUAGGCGGCAUUGCAAGUAGGGUGUGAAAGCCCUCGGCUCAACCGAGGAAUUGCGCUCUAAACUGCAGUGCUCGAGGAACCUAGAGGUGAGCAGAACAGAUGGUGGAGCGGUGAAAUGCGUUGAUAUCAUCUGGAAUACCGGAGGCGAAGGCGGCUCACUGGGGGUUUUCUGACGCUGAGGAACGAAAGCCAGGGUAGCGAACGGG